UACAGAGGUCCUAAGCGUUGUUCGGAUUCACUGGGCGUAAAGGGUGCGUAGGCGGUCGGGUAAGUCUGGCGUGAAAUCUCCAAGCCUAACUUGGAAACUGCGUUGGAUACUAUCCGGCUCGAGGAAUGGAGGGGAGACUGGAAUACUUGGUGUAGCAGUGAAAUGCGUAGAUAUCAAGUGGAACACCAGUGGCGAAGGCGAGUCUCUGGACAUUUCCUGACGCUGAGGCACGAAAGCCAGGGGAGCAAACGGG
rnacentral:rRNA from 1 species